rnacentral:rRNA from 1 species
GAUGAACGCUGGCGGCGUGCCUAACACAUGCAAGUCGAACGGAAAGGCCCUGCGUUUGUUCGGUGCUCGAUUGGCGAACGGGUGAGUAACACGUGUGUAACCUGCCCUUGACUUUCGGAUAACUUCACGAAACUGGGGCUAAUAUCGGAUAGGAUCUCCUGCUGCAUGGUGGGGGUUGGAAAGUUUCGGCUUUUGGGGAUGGACUCGCGGCUUAUCAGCUUGCUAGUGGGGUAGUCGCUUACCAAGCCUUUGACGGCUAGGCGGCAUGAGAGGGUGAACAGGCACAAUGGGACUGCGAUACGGAGCAGACUCCUACGGGAGGCAGCAGGCGAGAAUAUUGCACAAUGGGCGGGAGUGUGAUGCAGCAACGUCGGGUGCGGGAUGACGGCCUUCGGGUUAUGAACCGAUUUCGACUGUGACGAAGCGUGAGUGACGGUAAUGAGUAAAGAAGCACCGGCUAACUACGUG